UACAGAGGGGGCAAGCGUUGUUCGGAAUUACUGGGCGUAAAGGGCGCGUAGGCGGCCGCCUAAGUCAGACGUGAAAUCCCUCGGCUCAACCGGGGAACUGCGUCUGAUACUGGGUGGCUUGAAUCCGGGAGAGGGAUGCGGAAUUCCAGGUGUAGCGGUGAAAUGCGUAGAUAUCUGGAGGAACACCGGUGGCGAAGGCGGCGUUCUGGACUGCAACUGACACUGAGGAACGAAAGCCAGGGGAGCAAACGGG
rnacentral:rRNA from 1 species